rnacentral:rRNA from 1 species
AUUGAACGCUGGCGGCAGGCCUAACACAUGCAAGUCGAGCGGAUGAAGGGAGCUUGCUCCUGGAUUCAGCGGCGGACGGGUGAGUAAUGCCUAGGAAUAUGCCUGGUAGUGGGGGAUAACGUCCGGAGACGGGCGCUAAUACCGCAUACGUCCUGAGGGAGAAAGUGGGGGAUCUUCGGACCUCACGCUAUCAGAUGAGCCUAGGUCGGAUUAGCUAGUUGGUGGGGUAAGGGCCUACCAAGGCGACGAUCCGUAACUGGUCUGAGAGGAUGAUCAGUCACACGGGAACUGAGACACGGUCCAGACUCCUACGGGAGGCAGCAGUGGGGAAUAUUGGACAAUGGGCGAAAGCCUGAUCCAGCCAUGCCGCGUGUGUGAAGAAGGUCUUCGGAUUGUAAAGCACUUUAAGUUGGGAGGAAGGGCAGUAAGUUAAUACCUUGCUGUUUUGACGUUACCAACAGAAUAAGCACCGGCUAACUUCGUG